rnacentral:rRNA from 1 species
GGGGAAUAUUGGACAAUGGGCGGAAGCCUGAUCCAGCCAUGCCGCGUGUGUGAAGAAGGCCUUUUGGUUGUAAAGCACUUUAAGCGAGGAGGAGGCUACUUAGAUUAAUACUCUAGGAUAGUGGACGUUACUCGCAGAAUAAGCACCGGCUAACUCUGUGCCAGCAGCCGCGGUAAUACAGAGGGUGCGAGCGUUAAUCGGAUUUACUGGGCGUAAAGCGUGCGUAGGCGGCUUUUUAAGUCGGAUGUGAAAUCCCUGAGCUUAACUUAGGAAUUGCAUUCGAUACUGGGAAGCUAGAGUAUGGGAGAGGAUGGUAGAAUUCCAGGUGCAGCGGUGAAAUGCGUAGAGAUCUGGAGGAAUACCGAUGGCGAAGGCAGCCAUCUGGCCUAAUACUGACGCUGAGGUACGAAAGCAUGGGGAGCGAACAGGAUUAGAUACCCUGGUAGUCCAUGCCGUAAACGAUGUCUACUAGCCGUUGGGGCCUUUGAGGCUUUAGUGGCGCAGCUAACGCGAUAAGUAGACCGCCUGGGGAGUACGGUCGCAAGACUA